rnacentral:rRNA from 1 species
GGACGAAAGUCUGACGCAGCAACGCCGCGUGAGGGAUGACGGCCUUCGGGUUGUAAACCUCUUUUGUCAGGGAAGAUAGUGACGGUACCUGACGAAUAAGCCACGGCUAACUACGUGCCAGCAGCCGCGGUAAUACGUAGGUGGCAAGCGUUGUCCGGAUUUACUGGGCGUAAAGAGCGCGCAGGCGGUCGUUCAAGUCGCGUGUGAAAGCCCCCGGCUCAACUGGGGAGGGUCACGCGAUACUGAUCGACUCGAAGGCAGGAGAGGGUAGUGGAAUUCCCGGUGUAGUGGUGAAAUGCGUAGAUAUCGGGAGGAACACCAGUGGCGAAGGCGACUACCUGGCCUGUUCUUGACGCUGAGGCGCGAAAGCUAGGGGAGCAAACGGGAUUAGAUACCCCGGUAGUCCUAGCCGUAAACGAUGGACACUAGGUGUUGGUGGUAUCAACCCCGCCAGUGCCGAAGCUAACGCAUUAAGUGUCCCGCCUGGGGAGUACGGCCGCAAGGCUA